rnacentral:misc_RNA from 1 species
CAGAUUACCUUAGUGUUAAGGUAUGUGAUAUUUUGCGUUUAUAGAAUUUCUGACACUUAUUUUCAAAAUUCUUUUGCUAUCAUGAAGUAAAUGGUGAAACUGUUUUAGAAAUGGUUGUUUAUAUUUUAAAAAAUUUUGCUAAUCUUUGUUAAGGAUGAAGCAUGGAUAAAAACAGAACAUCUUAAUUACUAAAUAUUUAUUUUCUACAGUUAUUUAAAAUAAACUGAAGGUGCUUGUUUGUUGAGCAUCGGUGUUGUUGCUAGGUCUAGUAGCAUGAUUUACAGAAGUUUGUACUGAUAAAAGUAUGUCUACACUAUCUCAUACAUGAUUUCAGAAGUUGGGGUGGGUUAAAUGUGCAUUUUAAUCACAUAUUUAAUCAAUCUACCUUAAAUUGCUUGUUUAUUUGUCUUAAGAAUUAUCAGAACUGAUUCAAUAUAUUAUUUAUAAAUUGAUACCACUUGCUAUUUCUCAAUUUCUUGAGCUAGAUCUACUAGUUUCUCUUGUUCUUUUGCAGCUUAUUAUUCUGAACUCAAUAUUAACUCAUCUUGUUUUAUAUUAUUCACUACAUGAUAUUUUUCUAAAUUAUGGUGAUAUGUUACAUUUCUACAUAGAUUCACAUUCAUCGGGCAGCAUGGAAUGCUAGUGAAUUGGUUUAAUUAUCCAAUUCCUCUUUAUUUGUUUUGGCUGUGGAUAUUUGGAGGUGUAUAUGUGUAAAGAGUUAAAGUUGGUGGAGGUGGUAGAGAUGAGGUAUGGACUCAAGGUUUGCUUUAAGAUGGAUUGCGAGACAAGUCCUGAAAAGGUUAAGGGGGUUGCCCGAGGUAGUUAUCAAGAUAAUGGGUUAAACCUUAGAGUGAGCAUCCUCAGAGAUAUUCUUGUUUGGUUGUUGUCAUUUGUUGUGUGCAUUUGUGCUUGCAAGGUGCCACAUUGAGUGAAAUUUUUUGCUUGCUUCUUUGGAAUUUUUUUUUUCCCUUUUUUAAGAAUAAUGUCAAUUAUAGUUUCAAGAUCAUUAGAUGGCCUAAUUGUAAAAUGCCAAAAUGAUGAUAUGUUGCUUCUCUAUAUAGAUUCACAUUCUUUAGACAGCAUGAAAGGUAGAAUUGGUUUAGUUACAGAAUUCAUCUUGAUUUGUUGGGGCUGUGGAUACUGAAGUGACAGUAUAUAAGUAUUAGGUACGCCGCACAGAUGUUCUUUCAGCCUGGAGUGGUAUUCGCCCAUUAGCUAUUGAGCCAUCAACAAAAAAUACUGAGAGCAUCUCCAGAGAUCAUGUUGUAUGUGAAGAUUAUCCUGGUUUGGUCACAAUCAC